GCCUUGUGUGGAGCAGGGCGCACGCCGCCGGCUGCCUUCUCUCGAGCAGGGCGCAUCCUCUCCCGCCACGACGUCUUCUGCCCCCCUCCCCCUCCCCGCACCACCACCACCACCACCACGGCCUCACCCCGUCUCCUAUCCCCACGACGGCCUCGCCUCGCCGGCUCUUAUCCCCACCACGGCCUCGCCCCGCCGCCUCCUCUCACCACCGCGGACUUGUCUCGCCGCCAACCCCGUGGAUCUUCCCUAGAUCGACUCUGCCGCCGCCAUCAUACUGCCGCAGAGCAGAUCGAGAUGCGAGAUGCUGGACACGAUGCAGGAGCAGGCAUCUUGAAUUGGACCGAGAUCCAGUGCGUCGACCUCACACAGUCUCUCCGGGAAGGAGUUCGCAGCUCGCGUAGGUGUUCGGUUGCUGAAGGCACCUUCACCACAUUGUCAUUCAUUUGUGAGAUGUUUCUGUUUCUCUAUGUUGGCAUGGAUGCAUUGGAUAUAGAGAUUUGGAAGAUUGUUAGCGGAACACAUAUACAGGCAACUGCGGGGACUACCAACAGGCGGCGUACCUGCUACGUGUUGGUGAUGAGCAAGCUAGCCAAGGGGCAGCAUAGUGAAUCGAUGAAGAAGCUGGAAUCCUAAUAGGAGGAAUAUUUUCAACUGGUUUGACGCAUGUUGGAGGAGGCUUGAAGUGGCGGUCGUAACACAGUCAGUUGGGAGGACCCAACGCCAGAGUCAAAAUUGUUGACAUUUUCUUUGUUAGAAACGGCUGUAUCUGGUGUUCUUAAUGAAGCUGGACCAUGAAGUGGAGUUAGAUCACUCAUUAUCACAUCAACAGUUGUAGGACAACACAUGACCUUCAGUGGCUGUUGUGUGUUGUUGGUGAGUGACAACAGACUGCACACUUGGCCUCUCCACAGUGUCUAAAUCUGUCAGAAAUAACACUUAAUCAACAUGAUUUUACUUGUCAUUCACGACAUGCAUGAUAAAGGACAGGUAAAAUGGAGUAACCAGGUGACAUGGCCCCGGAUGGCUUUGAUGGAGUGUUGGUUCCAGUUACAAUAGCGGUGGGGUGAUGACACCGGAGGUAGGGCAGCACGCCGGCUGGAGGCCGUCCACCGGGUGGAGGACGUCGCGGGCACCUGGGGCGAGGGCGGCAUCGCGAAGAUGCCGGGGUGAGGAGAGGCAGCAAGUUGGGUGGAGGAUGUCCAGCGGGUCGAGGACGUCGCGGAGACCAGGGGCGAGGACGGCGGGGCGGCUGGCCGAGCGAGGCGGGGCUGAUGGCCGAGGCGAGGUUCGUGGACUGAUGCUGGCAUUGAUCGUGGAGUUUUGUGGUAUGGUGGCUGCGUUGAUUGUGGAGGUAUGUUAAAUUCCCUGGAGGGGUCAUCGUUGGGCUCUGUAGCAUCCUGGACGGGAGAGUCUGCCGGCAGAACAUUUCUUUUGAACCGUAGAUCUGAUUGUAGUUUGCUGGAUGUAACAUGGACAGUUGGAUGUAACUAAGUGGGUUUGAUCGGACGUGGGGGGUUAUCCCGUGUGCACUUUCCGGUGUGGACGUAGGGAAAGUAAUGUUUGGUCUUUUAAUAGUAAGUAUAGAAGUAUAGAUAUAUACUAGUACAAAUGCCCGUGCGUUGCACCGGGC